UGAAAAGAACUCCUGUUAGGAGAGUGAAAUAGUACCUGAAACCAUAAGCUUACAAGCCGUAGGAGCUCUAUGCUUUUGAUUCGUCAAAAGAACGAGUGACUGUGUGCCUUUUGCAUAAUGAGCCAACGAGUUAUUGUAUAUAGCAAGGUUAAGUCCUUUUCAGGAUGAAGCCAUAGCGAAAGCGAGUUCGAAAUGAGCGUUGAGUUAUGUGCAAUAGACCCGAAACCGAGUGAUCUACCCAUGGCCAGGAUGAAGCUUCGAUAAUAUCGGAGUGGAGGUCCGAACCAGGAGGGGUUGAAAACCCUUUGGAUGAGCUGUGGGUUGGAGUGAAAGGCUAAUCAAACUCGGAGAUAGCUGGUUCUCCUCG
rnacentral:rRNA from 1 species